rnacentral:rRNA from 1 species
UACGGAAGGCAGCAGCGGGGAAUAUUGCACAAUGGGCGCAAGCCUGAUGCAGCCAUGCCGCGUGUAUGAAAAAGGCCUUCGGGUUGUAAAGUACUUUCAGUCGUGAGGAAGGUGUUAAGGUUAAUAACCUUAGCAAUUGACGUUAGCGACAGAAGAAGCACCGGCUAACUCCGUGCCAGCAGCCGCGGUAAUACGGAGGGUGCGAGCGUUAAUCGGAAUUACUGGGCGUAAAGGGCACGCAGGCGGUUAAUUAAGUUGGAUGUGAAUCCCCGGGCUUAACCUGGGAAUGGCAUUCAAGACUGGUUAGCUAGAGUCUUGUAGAGGGGGUAGAAUUCCAUGUGUAGCGGUGAAAUGCGUAGAGAUGUGGAGGAAUACCGGUGGCGAAGGCGGCCCCUGGACAAAGACUGACGCUCAUGUGCGAAAGCGUGGGGAGCAAAC